GUCGGGGUAGUUUAGCGGUAGAACGCCAGUCUCAUAAGCUGGAGGUCGUGGGUUCAAAUGUCGGCCGCUGCCGACGAGAGCAAACUAUAUCCUCUUGAGGAUAUAGCAAAAUGGUAGCGGUUGCUUGAAAGUCCCACCCCCGACA
rnacentral:tRNA from 1 species